UUGCUUUGGCAGCACGUAUAUUAAAACUGGAAUGAUACAGGGAAGAUUAGCAUGGCCCCUGUGCAAGGAUCAUACACACACACACACACACUCACACACAAACA